UACGGAGGGGGCUAGCGUUGUUCGGAAUUACUGGGCGUAAAGCGCACGUAGGCGGCUUUGCAAGUUAGAGGUGAAAGCCCGGGGCUCAACUCCGGAAUUGCCUUUAAGACUGCAUCGCUAGAAUUGUGGAGAGGUAAGUGGAAUUCCGAGUGUAGAGGUGAAAUUCGUAGAUAUUCGGAAGAACACCAGUGGCGAAGGCGACUUACUGGACACAUAUUGACGCUGAGGUGCGAAAGCGUGGGAGCAA
rnacentral:rRNA from 1 species